CUUUUCUGUUUGUCAGAACAAGGACUGCAGGAGAAGUAGCUGGCACAUCACAUAGAAACCUGUACAAGCAUGAGGUACUGGAUCUGAGCCUGGUGGACUGGACUUCACCUUCAAACCUGCUGGUCUAAUCACCACUUCUGAUGGUUCGAGUUCCUGCAUACACGCCUUGUGAUUUGCAGACUUCUACCACCCUUUGGAGGCAGCUAGCCCUCAUUUGUGUCACCACCCACCCC